UGGUAAAAGCUUAGGAGUUCUUAGUUGUGCUGUUCAAUAAACAGUGAUGACCCAACACGACGUUGGGUCAAGCAAUCAGCGGCACGACGUCGCAUUGAUUGCGUUUACGUCCGUAUUUAUCACCUAUACCAGCACAUCUUAGAACUACUUAGCU
rnacentral:ncRNA from 1 species